rnacentral:rRNA from 1 species
UCGAUUUGGAGUUUGUUGCCUUGAGUGAUGGGCUCCGAAGCUAACGCGAUAAAUCGACCGCCUGGGGAGUACGGCCGCAAGGUUAAAACUCAAAUGAAUUGACGGGGGCCCGCACAAGCGGUGGAGCAUGUGGUUUAGUUCGAUGCAACGCGAAGAACCUUACCUGGUCUUGACAUCCACAGAAUCUUGCAGAGAUGCGAGAGUGCCUUCGGGAACUGUGAGACAGGUGCUGCAUGGCUGUCGUCAGCUCGUGUUGUGAAAUGUUGGGUUAAGUCCCGCAACGAGCGCAACCCUUAUCCUUUGUUGCCAGCGGUUUGGCCGGGAACUCAAAGGAGGCUGCCGUUGAUAAAGCGGAGGAAGGUGGGGACGACGUCAAGUCAUCAUGGCCCUUACGACCAGGGCUACACACGUGCUACAAUGGCGUAUACAAAGGGAGGCGACCUCGCGAGAGCAAGCGGACCUCACAAAGUACGUCUAAGUCCGGAUUGGAGUCUGCAACUCGACUCCAUGAAGUCGGAAUCGCUAGUAAUCGUGAAUCAGAAUGUCACGGUGAAUACGUUCCCGGGCCU